UCGAAUUUCUACAAAAAUUGCCCCUCAAAGUAACUCAAAAUAGAGCAUCUGAAUUCACUCACUCAUGUGUUAUCCUCUACUAUUUAUGAUCCAGAUAACAUCCAUACAUUUCCUUAAGACUAAGAGGUGAAAGAGCUAAAGUUAAAGUGAGCUUACCGGAGAAUUUGAAGCUUCGUCGGAAUCUGCGUUUGGAUCUAACUCCUUCCAUUUGUAAGAAUCUGGUUACUAUAUGAUACAGAUUUGUACAUUGAUUAAUACCCAUAUGCUUUGGUUCCCUGUGGAUGCGUAAUCGUUAUUUAAUUUCUCUUUUAGGGAUAACUUCUGUUUUGGUUUAAAAUGAGUCGUCGUGUAACCAUGAGAUGCUCAGAUUUGGAUUGAGGUUCAAGGAGAAAGAUGACUCCAUCAGGACUGAGAGAACCCGAUAUCCCUCCAUUUUUUCAUUUAAAUUUAAAUUAGCUUAUCCACUUAUCUUGCCCUGGUUGGAUGCUUGAAGUGACUUGGAAGAUUGGGCAGGGUGUGGUACAAUUGACUAUGGUGCAUGUAGAUCUUCAGAGCGCAUACCUAGUCAAGUCACCCAAUCUAAUGGAUGAAAUGAGUCUCAACUACAGCGUGUUUAGGCCAUUGGAUAAAAUCUAAUGGAUCUGAUCAUAUGAGGUUCUUUCUUUGUUUUUCCACUCAGAUUGGCAUGGUGUGGGCUAGGUGCCCUAGUGGGCUGGGACUGGUGCUAUUUGGACCUCCAAAUCCAAAUACACCCCCUCCUCUCAUUUUUUUUUUAGUUUUAAUUGUUUUAUUCUAUUUUCCUUUUUGGAUUCAAUUUUCUUUACUUCACAUUUCUGAUUUUAUUUUCAACUCUU
rnacentral:lncRNA from 1 species